ACGAAUCAGGAAAAGGUUUGGCACAUCUAGGACCUUGCCCAUGACGCUUUGACAGCAAAGGUAACCUCAUCGACACCGAACCUCGGUUACUGCCAGCCAAACUGCUCCUAUGAGCAUCACAACCAGUUCAAAAGAAGAACUCUCACGACAUCCAGAACAACUCAUAGAGACCCAACUAAAUCCCCAUUCUAGAAGGGUACUAGAG
rnacentral:misc_RNA from 1 species